rnacentral:lncRNA from 1 species
GAAUGAAAGGUUUAAAGAUGAGACAGAAUUUGAUGUGGAAGAGGCCAUUAAAUCUUGGCUUCGGCAUGCACAGGCAAGACUGCAGAGAGAUGAGGUUUCGAAACCGGGGCAAGGCUAGCUCUGCAAUGUCAACUCAUUGCCACCAUGUAGAAGG